rnacentral:rRNA from 1 species
CAAUGGGCGGAAGCCUGACGCAGCGACGCCGCGUGAGGGAUGACGGCCUUCGGGUUGUAAACCUCUUUCAGCUCUGACGAAGCGAGAGUGACGGUAGGAGCAGAAGAAGCACCGGCCAACUACGUGCCAGCAGCCGCGGUAAUACGUAGGGUGCAAGCGUUGUCCGGAAUUAUUGGGCGUAAAGAGCUCGUAGGCGGUUUGUCGCGUCGAAUGUGAAAACCCGGGGCUCAACCCCGGGCCUGCAUUCGAUACGGGCAGACUAGAGUUCGGUAGGGGAGUCUGGAAUUCCUGGUGUAGCGGUGAAAUGCGCAGAUAUCAGGAGGAACACCGGUGGCGAAGGCGGGACUCUGGGCCGAUACUGACGCUGAGGAGCGAAAGCGUGGGGAGCGAACAGGAUUAGAUACCCUGGUAGUCCACGCCGUAAACGUUGGGCGCUAGGUGUGGGGGUCCUUCCACGACCUCCGUGCCGCAGCUAACGCAUUAAGCGCCCCGCCUGGGGAGUACGGCCGCAAGGCUA